GAUGAACGCUGACAGAAUGCUUAACACAUGCAAGUCUUUGGCGAAGCUGUGCUUGCACAGCCUAGCCAAGGCGGACGGGUGAGUAACGCGUAAGGAACUUGCCCUGCAGUCAGGGAUAACAGACGGAAACGACUGAUAAGACCUGGUAAAGUCAGGCGGACUCAUGUCCAGCCUGAUGAAAAGUGAUGCUGCAGGAGAGCCUUGCGUCCUAUUAGCUUGUUGGUGGGGUAACGGCCCACCAAGGCGAUGAUAGGUAGCCGGCCUGAGAGGGUGGACGGCCACAAGGGGACUGAGAUACGGCCCUGACUCCUACGGGAGGCAGCAGUGGGGAAUAGUGGACAAUGGGGGCAACCCUGAUCCAGCAAUUCUGUGUGCACGAUGAAGGUUUUCGGAGUGUAAAGUGCUUUCAGCAGGGAAGAAAAAAAUGACGGUACCUGCAGAAGAAGCGACGGCUAAAUACGUG
rnacentral:rRNA from 1 species